ACGUUACUGCUGGCGAAGUAGCGGAGUCCCUCCUGGUCCAUAGAGAUGCUAUCCAAACCGUCCGUGAACAUCCUGAUUGGGUUGCCUACAUCGCAUGACUCGAAUUCCUCCUUGCUCUUCACUUCAGCUAUGUACCCAUGCGCUGCAGAGUAGGCUAACCCUGCCCAUCCAUAAAAGUCCCCACACAAACAAAAGAGUCUUGUGAGUUGUUGUGAACUUGUGAAUGAAUGAACAACUGUGUUGAAAAUGACUUUCUUCUUUCACCAAAAAAAGAAAAUGACAUUCUUUCCACUUUACUCUCUCGAUUUUCUCGGAAACCAAACAAAUGGCUUGGUUAAAAGAUGCCAACAAAACGAAAGCAAAGCAUAAAUAACAAAAUUUUAAGCUCUAGAGGGAGAGAGAGAGAGAGAGAGAGAGAGAGAAAGAGAGAAGGAAGACUCACAGAUGUUGUCUCCGACCCUGAAAGUUUUGUUGGAGGACCAAGAAGCGAGGUCGGAAGAAGGGUCCCAGCCACGGUCUCCUCCAACGACAUGGUGCAGUUGGGCUCCAACCCCACAAAUCCCUCCAAGGCUCACAGUGGCCAAAACCACAAUCGCCACCACCACCUUCAAACCAUAUUCUCCAGCCAUUAUACUCAAGUCUCUCUUUCUCUCUCUCAACCCAAAGAGGUAGCUUAGCGUUGCUUUUAUCUCUCUUUUCCUGACCAAAAAGUAAACGCUAAACAGUAGGGACUGGUACAGCAAGAGAGAGAGAGAGAGAUAAGGAGAGUGAUAAAGUGAAGGGCAAGUAAAGGCGCCUUCUUUCGGUUUUUAGCGGUAGCUAGCUAGCUCUCGUCAUCUCAUCUCACUAAAACUUGCGAAUAUUAACUUUCCACGCAACUUCCCUUCUCCCCCGUUCUUAAAAGGACACCCCCAACACACAUACAAUACAACCAAUGGACAUGGAGGACACUCAAGACUGAAGGACCGGUGGUUGGUCACAUUCGCAUCGCAUCCAUGACUGAAAGACCGUUUGUUUGUUCGCUUCUCUUCUACCCUAUAGGGCCCUCCCUCUCUACCACCGGACCACUCUUCCACUGCG
rnacentral:lncRNA from 1 species